UACAGAGGGUGCGAGCGUUAAUCGGAAUUACUGGGCGUAAAGCGUGCGUAGACGGUUAUUUAAGUCAGGUGUGAAAGCCCCGGGCUCAACCUGGGAAUUGCAUUUGAGACUGAAUAGCUAGGGUGCGGAAGAGGGAAGCGGAAUUUCCGGUGUAGCGGUGAAAUGCGUAGAUAUCGGAAGGAACAUCAGUGGCGAAAGCGACUUCCUGGACCAGUACCGACGUUCAGGCACGAAAGCGUGGGGAGCAAACAGG
rnacentral:rRNA from 1 species